rnacentral:rRNA from 1 species
UGGGGAAUAUUGGACAAUGGGCGCAAGCCUGAUCCAGCAAUGCCGCGUGUGUGAAGAAGGCCUUCGGGUUGUAAAGCACUUUUAUCAGGAGCGAAACGCUGUCGGCUAAUACCCGGCGGAACUGACGGUACCUGAGGAAUAAGCACCGGCUAACUUCGUGCCAGCAGCCGCGGUAAUACGAAGGGUGCAAGCGUUAAUCGGAAUUACUGGGCGUAAAGCGUGCGUAGGCGGUUUCUUAAGUCUGCUGUGAAAUCCCCGGGCUCAACCUGGGAAUGGCAGUGGAUACUGGGAGGCUAGAGUGUGUCAGAGGGUGGUGGAAUUCCCGGUGUAGCGGUGAAAUGCGUAGAGAUCGGGAGGAACAUCAGUGGCGAAGGCGGCCACCUGGGACAACACUGACGCUGAGGCACGAAAGCGUGGGGAGCAAACAGGAUUAGAUACCCUGGUAGUCCACGCCCUAAAGCGAUGCGAACUGGAUGUUGGUCUCAACUCGGAGAUCAGUGUCGAAGCUAACGCGUUAAGUUCGCCGCCUGGGGAGUACGGUCGCAAGACUGAAACUCAAAUGAAUUGACGGGGGUCAU